rnacentral:rRNA from 1 species
GAAUUACUGGGCGUAAAGCGCACGCAGGCGGUCUGUCAAGUCGGAUGUGAAAUCCCCGGGCUCAACCUGGGAACUGCAUUCGAAACUGGCAGGCUAGAGUCUUGUAGAGGGGGGUAGAAUUCCAGGUGUAGCGGUGAAAUGCGUAGAGAUCUGGAGGAAUACCGGUGGCGAAGGCGGCCCCCUGGACAAAGACUGACGCUCAGGUGCGAAAGCGUGGGGAGCAAACAGGAUUAGAUACCCUGGUAGUCAAGGGCGAAUUCGC